rnacentral:tRNA from 1 species
GGCCUCGUAGCUCAGCUGGUAGAGCAUGCGGCGUCCAUGCGUGGGUUCGAAUCCCACCGAGGUUA